rnacentral:rRNA from 1 species
UACGAAGGGGGCUAGCGUUGUUCGGAAUCACUGGGCGUAAAGCGCACGUAGGCGGACUCUUAAGUCAGGGGUGAAAUCCUGAGGCUCAACCUCAGAACUGCCUUUGAUACUGGGAGUCUCGAGUUCGGGAGAGGUGAGUGGAACUGCGAGUGUAGAGGUGAAAUUCGUAGAUAUUCGCAAGAACACCAGUGGCGAAGGCGGCUCACUGGCCCGAUACUGACGCUGAGGUGCGAAAGCGUGGGGAGCAAACAGG